rnacentral:rRNA from 1 species
UACGGGGGGGGCAAGCGUUGUUCGGAAUUACUGGGCGUAAAGGGCGCGUAGGCGGCCUGCUAAGUCGGACGUGAAAUCCCUCGGCUCAACCGGGGAACUGCGUCCGAUACUGGCGAGCUUGAAUCCGGGAGAGGGAUGUGGAAUUCCAGGUGUAGCGGUGAAAUGCGCAGAUAUCAGGAGGAACACCAAUUGCGAAGGCAGCUCGCUGGGACGUAACUGACGCUGAGACGCGAAAGCGUGGGGAGCAAACAGG